UACGUAGGGGGCAAGCGUUGUCCGGAAUUACUGGGCGUAAAGAGUGUGUAGGCGGUGCUCUAAGUUCGGUGUGAAAUCUCCUGGCACAACUGGGAGGGUGCGCCGGAAACUGGAGUGCUUGAGCGUGGGAGAGGAAAGCGGAAUUCCUGGUGUAGCGGUGAAAUGCGUAGAUAUCAGGAGGAACACCUGUGGUGUAGACGGCUUUCUGGACCAUAGCUGACGCUGAGACACGAAAGCGUGGGUAGCAAACAGG
rnacentral:rRNA from 1 species